rnacentral:rRNA from 1 species
GACGAACGCUGGCGGCGUGCUUAACACAUGCAAGUCGAACGGAAAGGCCCUGCUUUUGUGGGGUGCUCGAGUGGCGAACGGGUGAGUAACACGUGAGUAACCUGCCCUUGACUUUGGGAUAACUUCAGGAAACUGGGGCUAAUACCGGAUAGGAGCUCCUGCUGCAUGGUGGGGGUUGGAAAGUUUCGGCGGUUGGGGAUGGACUCGCGGCUUAUCAGCUUGUUGGUGGGGUAGUGGCUUACCAAGGCUUUGACGGGUAGCCGGCCUGAGAGGGUGACCGGCCACAUUGGGACUGAGAUACGGCCCAGACUCCUACGGGAGGCAGCAGUGGGGAAUAUUGCACAAUGGGCGGAAGCCUGAUGCAGCAACGCCGCGUGCGGGAUGACGGCCUUCGGGUUGUAAACCGCUUUCGCCUGUGACGAAGCGUGAGUGACGGUAAUGGGUAAAGAAGCACCGGCUAACUACGUGCCAGCAGCCGCGGUGAUACGUAGGGUGCGAGCGUUGUCCGGAUUUAUUGGGCGUAAAGGGCUCGUAGGUGGUUGAUCGCGUCGGAAGUGUAAUCUUGGGGCUUAACCCUGAGCGUGCUUUCGAUACGGGUUGACUUGAGGAAGGUAGGGGAGAAUGGAAUUCCUGGUGGAGCGGUGGAAUGCGCAGAUAUCAGGAGGAACACCAGUGGCGAAGGCGGUUCUCUGGGCCUUUCCUGACGCUGAGGAGCGAAAGCGUGGGGAGCGAACAGGCUUAGAUACCCUGGUAGUCCACGCUGUAAACGGUGGGUACUAGGUGUGGGGUCCAUUCCACGGGUUCCGUGCCGUAGCUAACGCUUUAAGUACCCCGCCUGGGGAGUACGGCCGCAAGGCUAAAACUCAAAGGAAUUGACGGGGCCCCGCACAAGCGGCGGAGCAUGCGGAUUAAUUCGAUGCAACGCGUAGAACCUUACCUGGGUUUGACAUGGAUCGGGAGCGCUCAGAGAUGGGUGUGCCUCUUUUGGGGUCGGUUCACAGGUGGUGCAUGGCUGUCGUCAGCUCGUGUCGUGAGAUGUUGGGUUAAGUCCCGCAACGAGCGCAACCCUUGUUCACUGUUGCCAGCACGUUAUGGUGGGGACUCAGUGGAGACCGCCGGGGUCAACUCGGAGGAAGGUGGGGAUGACGUCAAGUCAUCAUGCCCCUUAUGUCCAGGGCUUCACGCAUGCUACAAUGGCUGGUACAGAGAGUGGCGAGCCUGUGAGGGUGAGCGAAUCUCGGAAAGCCGGUCUCAGUUCGGAUUGGGGUCUGCAACUCGACCUCAUGAAGUCGGAGUCGCUAGUAAUCGUAGAUCAGCAACGCUGCGGUGAAUACGUUCCCGGGGCU